rnacentral:misc_RNA from 1 species
AAAGGAGUAUCCGUACUCUUCAACCCUUUGUGAACCUACCAUUGUCAGUUGCUUCGGCGGGAGGCCCCUGGGAGGGGCCCCGGGGCCCGGCCUGAGCCGGGCUCCCGCCGGAGGAGCGCAAAACAAACUCUUGUUGUAACCCAGUGGCACGUCCGAGUUAAAACAAAAAACAAGUUAAAACUUUCAACAACGGAUCUCUUGGUUCU